rnacentral:ncRNA from 1 species
UUUUAUGCUCAGUACAGCUUUUUAGUAUAUAAGUUUUAAUGAAAAUUUAUUUACACUUUGAAUUUCAUAACAUUUAUCCACAUUCAUAAUGAUAAAAGUUAAAAAUUUUUUUAUGAUCUAAUUGUAGUGCCAGCAGAUGUGGUUAUACUAUUGAUAAAAUUAUACUUUUUUUUAUUUCUUAAUUAAUUUUAUUUGAAUAAAAGAUUAUAUUAAGUGAAAUUUUAUAUUUUUACUUUUUCAAUUUUAAGACAGGAAAAAUUUUAAAUUUAAAAGAGGAUUAGAUACCCUUUUAUAUUAAAAUUAUUUAGGUAGUAUUUUUCUAUUUAAAAAACCUAUGUAUUUUGGCGGCAUUUUAUCUUUUUAGAGGAACCUGUCUUUUAAUCGUAAUCCACGAUAUUUUUUACAUCUGUUAAAAUUUUAUAUACCUCCAUCUCUAGGGUUAAUAUUUAUAUUUUUCCCUCAAUAGAUUUCAAAAAGGUUAGGUAAAGGUGUAGACUAUGCGGAUGAUCAUGAUGGGUUACAUUAAAUUUUAUUUAAGGAUUAUUCUUUAAAAAGUUAUUUGAAAAAGGAUUUGUCAGUAAUUUUUGAAUAAUAUUCUAUACUGAACAAGAUAAUAAAUGUGCACAUAUCGCCCGUCACCCUUAUCUAAAGGUAAGGUAAGUCGUAACACAGUUGAUGUUUUGGAAAAAGCAUCAAGA